rnacentral:rRNA from 1 species
GAGGACUUUGUUAAGUUCGCUUCCUUCCAACUCAAAGAUCAAGCUGCAGAAUGGUUCCAGCAGUACAAGGACUCCAGAGGUGGACGUGUUAUCACUUGGGAUGAUUUCCGUCGAGAUUUCCGAGCUCAUCAUAUUCCCCAGAGCAUGGUUGAAAGCAAGCGUGAGGAAUUCCGCAAUCUGAAGCAAGGCUCUUUGUCUGUCUAUGACUACAACAAGUUGUUCCAGAAGCUCGCCCGCUUUGCCAAGCAGGACGUCCCUGAUGAGAAGAGCAUGAUAUAUCAGUUCAGGGGUGGUCUCAGAGAAGAAAUUCAGCUCGCUCUUGUCCUCUUUGAGCCCUUGAGGUAC